rnacentral:rRNA from 1 species
UACGGGGGGAGCAAGCGUUGUUCGGAUUUACUGGGCGUAAAGGGCGCGUAGGCGGCGCAACAAGUCACUUGUGAAAUCUCCGGGCUUAACCCGGAGCGGCCAAGUGAUACUGUCGUGCUAGAGUGCGGAAGGGGCUACUGGAAUUCUCGGUGUAGCGGUGAAAUGCGUAGAUAUCGAGAGGAGCACCUGCGGCGAAGGCGGGUAGCUGGGCCGACACUGACGCUGAUGCGCGAAAGCCAGGGGAGCGAACAGG